AAAAGUUGCCAAAGUGGAUGUUCCAUCUGUUCCGCUUGUUGGUGUAGUGCCAGGAUCAUUGGGUGUUGGAUAUCCUCCACAAACUUUAGGUGCAAUACAGCCAAUUUACAAUUCAGCUGUCCCCGUCCCUCCUGCUGGCUGGCCAGUUCCUUCUCGUCCACAGCCAUGGUUCCCACAACCUCCUGCAGUUUCAAUUCCACCUCCUGCUCCAGUUGGAUAUGCACAGCAGCCAUUGUUCCCAGUGCAAAAUGCAAGGCCCCCUCUGCCCUCAUCUACAGCUCCUGCACUCCAACCUGCA
rnacentral:misc_RNA from 1 species